rnacentral:rRNA from 1 species
GACGAACGCUGGCGGCGUGCCUAAUACAUGCAAGUCGAACGCAGUGGGGACGGGUGAGUAACACGUGGGUGACCUCCCAUCAGAGGGGAUAACACUUGGAAACAGGUGCUAAACCGAUACUGAUGGAUGGACCCGCGGUGCAUUAGCUAGUUGGUGAGGUAACGGCUCACCAAGGCCACGAUGCAUAGCCGACCUGAGAGGGGGAGCAGCCACACUGUGACUGAGACGCGGCCCAGAAUACAACGUGAGGCAGCAGUAUGGAACCGUCGGAAAUGGACGAAAGUCUGAUGGAGAAACGCCACGGGGGUGAAGAAGGUUUUCGGAUCGUACAACUCUGUUGUUAGUGAAGCGGUAUGUAACCAGAACGCCACGGCUAACUACGUACCAGCAGCCGCGGUAAUAC